CAUUUGUGCUACCGCAAGGGUUUCCUGAAAGCUUCGGUUUUCGGAAUUAAAAGGGAAUCGGGUGUAAAUCCCGGACAGUCCCAGCUGCUGUAAUCCUAUAAAAAAGUGUAUCGCACUUUGCCACUGUUUCCAAAUUCGAAACGGGAAGGCGCAAUACACUAGGAAAGUCAGAAGACCUGCCAUUGCAAAGUUCAACUA
rnacentral:ncRNA from 1 species